rnacentral:rRNA from 1 species
AAUGAACGUUGGCGGCGUGGAUUAGGCAUGCAAGUCGAGCGAUAACCGUAGCAAUACGGGGACAGCGGCGAACGGGAGAGUAACGAGUGGAGUACCUGCCCCGAGACCCGGGAUAGCCGUGGGAAACCGCGGGUAAUACCGGAUAACGUCUCCGGACCAAAGGUGUGAUUCCGUCUUGGGAUGGCUCCGCUUCCUAUUAGCUUGUUGGUGAGGUAACGGCUCACCAAGGCGACGAUGGGUACCGGGUGUGAGAGCAUGACCCGGCUCACUGGGACUGAGACACUGCCCAGACACCUACGGGUGGCAG